rnacentral:rRNA from 1 species
UACGUAGGGUGCAAGCGUUAAUCGGAAUUACUGGGCGUAAAGCGUGCGCAGGCGGCUUUGCAAGACAGAUGUGAAAUCCCCGGGCUUAACCUGGGAACUGCAUUUGUGACUGCAUGGCUGGAGUGCGGCAGAGGGGGAUGGAAUUCCGCGUGUAGCAGUGAAAUGCGUAGAUAUGCGGAGGAACACCGAUGGCGAAGGCAAUCCCCUGGGCCUGCACUGACGCUCAUGCACGAAGGCCAGGGGAGCAAACGGG